GGGGCUGAAAUUAUGCUCGACGUUGGACUUUAUCAGUCAAAUCAGCAGGUCGCUUGUCAGCGUAUAGACAAAACCAGAAUAAAUGCAAAAACAUUUACUCAGCGUCUAGCUAGCCUGUUUACAGUGCCAGCUUUCGCACCAGCUUACGCCUAAACGCGUAAGCCGUCAUUGAUGCGAUGCCUUGUUAGCAUCAGCUGACGUCAUAUUUUCAAGGACGCUUACGGUUUUUUGACCCGUAAACCGUACUAAGACUAUGGGUCAAAGAUUGCAGUUUUUUGUUCGUUUUAAUUCUGUAAUCUUAUUCAAACGGACUAUACCUGUAGGAUAGAUUGAUUAGAUAAACCUUCGGACCCGGUGGCAGUUACCGGCAGCUCCUCCA
rnacentral:tmRNA from 1 species